ACGGGAGGCAGCAGUGAGGAAUAUUGGUCAAUGGGCGGAAGCCUGAACCAGCCAAGUCGCGUGAAGGAUGAAGGUUCUAUGGAUUGUAAACUUCUUUUGCUCGAGGGUAAAGUGAUCUACGUGUAGGUUAUUGCAAGUAUCGAGUGAAUAAGCAUCGGCUAACUCCGUGCCAGCAGCCGCGGUAAUACGGAGGAUGCGAGCGUUAUCCGGAUUUAUUGGGUUUAAAGGGUGCGUAGGCGGGAGAUUAAGUCAGCGGUGAAAGUUUGCGGCUCAACCGUAAAAUUGCCGUUGAAACUGGCGUUCUUGAGUGUAAACGAGGUAGGCGGAAUGUGACGUGUAGCGGUGAAAUGCUUAGAUAUGUCACAGAACCCCGAUUGCGAAGGCAGCUUACCAGCAUACAACUGACGCUGAGGCACGAAAGUGCGGGGAUCAAACAGGAUUAGAUACCCUGGUA
rnacentral:rRNA from 1 species